AGAGUUUGAUCCUGGCUCAGAUUGAACGCUGGCGGCAUGCCUUACACAUGCAAGUCGAACGGCAGCGCGGGGCGACCUGGCGGCGAGUGGCGAACGGGUGAGUAAUAUAUCGGAACGUACCCUGGAGUGGGGGAUAACGUAGCGAAAGUUACGCUAAUACCGCAUACGAUCUAAGGAUGAAAGUGGGGGAUCGCAAGACCUCAUGCUCCUGGAGCGGCCGAUAUCUGAUUAGCUAGUUGGUGGGGUAAAGGCCUACCAAGGCAUCGAUCAGUAGCUGGUCUGAGAGGACGACCAGCCACACUGGAACUGAGACACGGUCCAGACUCCUACGGGAGGCAGCAGUGGGGAAUUUUGGACAAUGGGCGAAAGCCUGAUCCAGCAAUGCCGCGUGAGUGAAGAAGGCCUUCGGGUUGUAAAGCUCUUUUGUCAGGGAAGAAACGGUGGGGGCUAAUAUCCCCUGCUAAUGACGGUACCUGAAGAAUAAGCACCGGCUAACUACGUGCCAGCAGCCGCGGUAAUACGUAGGGUGCAAGCGUUAAUCGGAAUUACUGGGCGUAAAGCGUGCGCAGGCGGUUUUGUAAGUCUGUCGUGAAAUCCCCUGGCUCAACCUGGGAAUUGCGAUGGAGACUGCAAGGCUAGAAUCUGGCAGAGGGGGGUAGAAUUCCACGUGUAGCAGUGAAAUGCGUAGAGAUGUGGAGGAACACCGAUGGCGAAGGCAGCCCCCUGGGUCAAGAUUGACGCUCAUGCACGAAAGCGUGGGGAGCAAACAGGAUUAGAUACCCUGGUAGUCCACGCCCUAAACGAUGUCUACUAGUUGUCGGGUUUUAAUUAACUUGGUAACGCAGCUAACGCGUGAAGUAGACCGCCUGGGGAGUACGGUCGCAAGAUUAAACUCAAAGGAAUUGACGGGGACCCGCACAAGCGGUGGAUGAUGUGGAUUAAUUCGAUGCAACGCGAAAAACCUUACCUACCCUUGACAUGUACGGAAGCCACGAGAGAUCGAGGCGUGCUCGAAAGAGAGCCGUAACACAGGUGCUGCAUGGCUGUCGUCAGCUCGUGUCGUGAGAUGUUGGGUUAAGUCCCGCAACGAGCGCAACCCUUGUCAUUAGUUGCUACGAAAGGGCACUCUAAUGAGACUGCCGGUGACAAACCGGAGGAAGGUGGGGAUGACGUCAAGUCCUCAUGGCCCUUAUGGGUAGGGCUUCACACGUCAUACAAUGGUACAUACAGAGGGCCGCCAACCCGCGAGGGGGAGCUAAUCCCAGAAAGUGUAUCGUAGUCCGGAUUGUAGUCUGCAACUCGACUACAUGAAGUUGGAAUCGCUAGUAAUCGCGGAUCAGCAUGUCGCGGUGAAUACGUUCCCGGGUCUUGUACACACCGCCCGUCACACCAUGGGAGCGGGUUUUACCAGAAGUAGGUAGCUUAACCGCAAGGG
rnacentral:rRNA from 1 species